ensembl:lncRNA
GCUGGCGCCCUACUCUGGUUCGGCGGAGGAUUGCAGCGGUUUUCUUCAAUGCUCACUGGUCCUGGAGAUGCAACCGCACUUGUACCCAACCGAGAGAUCCAAGGUAGCAUUCGUGAUUUCUCAACUGCAAGGUAAAGCACUUCUGUGGGCAAAUUCAAUUUGGACUCAGAAUAACCAAGUUAUCCAGUCUUAUUCCAGCUUCAUCUACCAUUUCCGAGAAGUUUUUGGCAGACCAGCUUGGGACUCGUCUAUUGGUGAGAAGCUGUAUAACCUUAAACAGGGAAAAAUGUCUGUCAAUGAAUAUGCUGUUCAGUUCAGGACUCUAGCGGCCACCAGUGGAUGGAACGAACAGGCCUUGCUGACUACCUACCGUCAGGGAUUGGAACCUCGAGUGCGGUUGCAUCUCGCUGCAUACGAGGAUACCAUCGGGCUUGAACGGUUCAUUCAACUCUCCAUCCGCUUCGCCACCCGUAUGCAGGCGUGCCUAGAAGAGCACCAGGGCCAAGCGUAUCCCAACUCGCCACUCUGCUGACCAGAGGCCGUCAGCUCCCCAGAACCAGCCAACGAACCUAUGCUAGUCGACUCCUAUCGACUCACUGCGGCUGAAAGACAAAGACGGCCGGCCCAGAAUCUAUGCCUCUACUGUGCAUCCCCGGGGCAUAUCAUCUCUGCAUACCCCGUCCGUCCUCCUCAUCCCAUGUUUCCGCCCUCCUCGAUUCUGGGUCAGCCGGCAACUUUAUCUCAGGUGCCCUCUGCCGUCACCUCAAACUCGCUACCAUGGCAACGCUGCCAGCCUACAAGGUCCACACAAUAACCGGAAGGCCGUUGAGUAGAAGAUGUGAGCGUCAUAGUGUGGGUCCCAUUACCCUCCAAACCGGACUACUCCACCAAGAGGAGAUCCACCUGCUGGUUCUGGAGGAAUCCACCGCUAACGUCAUCCUAGGGCGCCCAUGGUUGGAGCAGCAUAACCCUGUCAUCUCGUGGAAGACAGGUGAAGUCCUGAAGUGGGGCGACUCCUGUUUCCAGAGCUGCAUCACCGGUUGUCCUGUCCCAGCCAAACCUACCCCUGCACCUCUUGCAGUUUGUACUACCUCAAUUGAGAGAAUUUCCUCCUUGAAGACGGUGCUGCCUACGAAGUAAGAGACAUCCUGGACUCCCGGCGGCGUGGUGGACAACUUGAAUACCUAGUGGACUGGGAGGGAUAUGGUCCAGAGGAACGUUCAUGGGUCCCACGCAAUGACAUCCGAACUUACUAAACACCUUCCACUCCAGUCAUCCUAACAGGCCAGCUCCCAGAGGAAGAGGACGUCCACCACGUCGUCGGGGUCCUCGGCCCUCAGGAGCGGGCCGUGGGGAGGGGGGUACUGUUACAGACAUGCCAGGUUCCACCUCCAUUCAAUCACAGCGCACGCCCUCACCUGAGUACUGAGCACUUCCACCUGACCCUCAUCAACAGUCAAUCACCUCUGCACUACUAAUACCACACACACGCACUCAGUCAGCGUCCGGUCUCGUUCGCAACAAGGUCUUACCUUUACGCUUACUCUAAGGACUAACUCUCUCUACUUACCUCUCUCCAGCGAUCUCCAGAAGUUCCCAGCCAUCUCCGUGCAUGCGUGUGGUACACCUCCCUACCUUGACAUCUCUACCCCUCUACUAUGGGUCCAUUCAUCACUGCCAGUCUCCAUAUCACUUUUCCCAGCACUACCCGCUCCUCUGCUUGUGCCUGAAUAAAACUGUCUUUCUGUUAUCCUCAGCCUCCUGGGUAUUCCGUAACAGAUGUAUACUGUUGACAGAAAUUAGAAGCAUACAAAUUACUAUAAAACUCAGAACAAAAAUUUGCAAUAAUUUUAGGGUCCUUCACAAUAUAAUCUUUAAUCCUCAAUUUUUCAAUAUGAUUAUUUUUAGCUUGUUGCCUCUCGUCAAAAAGAGCUCGUUUCGCCCUCUUCAAGCCAUUUCCUUCGAGACCUAAUAAAAGCUCCUUCAGCCUUUUGUUUGUAAAUUUCCUCAAGUUUAAGUUUCUGUUCAGUGAGUUCUACUUUAUUGAAUUCUGAUAAUUCUUCUACUCUUUUAGAUAAUAAAGUAGAUAUUUUCUAUAAUAAAGUACAGCUUUCCUCUUUUUUGCAAACUCGAUACAGUACUUCCUAAAAAAAUUCCUACUUUAAAUAUGAGAAGUUCCCAAUUGCUACAAUAUAUAUAUAUUUAUUAUUAUUAUUUUUUGCUUUAUUCCAGUAAGUCAAAAUUACUUUUUCUAUGCCAGUAAUAACUUCAUUAUGUUGAAGUACUGAAUUAUUUAAUUUCCGAUAUCCAGACUUUUGAGUUAAAUUCACAGAAGAUCUUAAGGGAACACUUAUUGAAAUAGCCUUAUGAUCCGAGAAUGGGGAUGGUAUUAUAUCAGUAACAAUCCUUUAAUAAUCCUUAGAUGUAAGCAAAUAAUCAAUCCUGAACUGACUAGAUAAAGAAUUAUUACUCCAAGUAAAGCAUUCUUGUGUUGGGUGAGAUUUCCUCCAUGUAUCAAUAAAAGAAAAUGUCUCCAUAAACAUAAUUACAUAACCUGUUGUCCAGGGCGACACUGAAAUCACCUCCAAAGAUCAGAGAAGAGUUAGGAUAUAUGGCUAACAUACCAGUCACCCCAUCACCUAACCUGUCAAAGGCAUUAUUUUCUCUUUGUAAGGUGAAACCAUAAACAUUAAUAAUAAUACAGGUUGAAUUUAAAAUUUCAAGGGCAAGUAAAAUGUAAUGUCCAGACGUAUCACACUCAUAACUUAAUAUUUUCACUUUAAAUCAAUUUUUCAAGAUACAAACCCCAGCAGAAUGAGCAGUGCCAUGAGAUAGCCAUAAAUCUAGUCCCCAUUGCGACCUCCAAAAAUGUACAUCUUGAAUAUCAGAAUGGUACUCUUGUAGGAAAAAAAAAAUCUGUAUUAAAGAGCUUCAAGUAAAAAAAAGGCUUUCCUCUUAACAAUGUUAUGCAACCCUCUACAAUUAAGAGAAACAAUAGAUAAAGACAUAAAACAAAAACCUAUAGAAAACACAAAGAGCUUAACCCAGAAGAUAUUCCUAUAAAAAGUUAUAACACAUUUUAAUCGAUUGAAACAGGAUGAGAACUGUAAUCCCUUUUUAAUGCAAAG